CUCUUGAUGUGGUGCGUAAAUAUGGCCUUUCAGCAGCCAUCUUUGCACCUGGAUGGACCUUUGAGACUCAGGAUAACUUUGUGGAAGCAGAAAAAUGCAUGUGGAGGUCCCUUGCACCCUAUUUAAACCAUCAGGGACCCCAGCACCUCCCCCUCACCACCUCCUUCUGCCAGGGGUAUGGGGACCACUUCUACUGCAGAGGAAAGGUGGAGAAGGAAGGUGCAUGGCAUGACCUAAGUCUCCAGCAGCUGCAGCCUCUUUGGUCACAGAUUUUUACUGUGUGACCUUGAGUGGCAAGCGACCCUGAGACUGAGUGUGGCCUACAAGUGGUGUGGCACAUCAACCACCCUCAUCCUCCUGUGCUAUCUGUCAAGGAGCCAAGAUGCCUCUUCCUCCAGUCAGAGCAG